rnacentral:misc_RNA from 1 species
GUCAUAGGGCGCGCAACCUGUAUCCGCUGGUCCUCAAGCAGACAAUUCCCAAUCUAUCCGAGUACACGAACAGCGCCUCCGGACCUCUGGAGGGUGUGAUCCGUCGGGACUCGCCCAAAUUCAAGGACCUCGUGCCCAACUACAACAGGGACAUCCUUUUCCGCGACGAGGAAGGCACCGGAGCGGAUCGCUUGAUGAGCAAGGUAAGGAAAACCCUCAAACACCGUAAGCUAGUAACAAAAUUUGUAAUACAUCAUUGGGAAAGUUUCGCUUAUCGGAAUCAUUGUGACAAAGUGACUUAAAAAUUAUUUGUAAAAACCGAAAUAUUGACUUAUUAAUCACGAUUAAUCAGAAAUUACUUAACAUUUAGUAUUGUUAGCAACACAAAUGAAGUGAAAACCCAGUCUUACGCCAAAUAAAUGACUAAUUCUAGGAAAAAAUGUGAGAUAACUCUACCAAACGGAACUUGUAAUGCUUUAAUAGUACACUUAAUAUUUGGUCUAGGUAUUAUUUUGUGAUAAAAGUAAGCCUACUUUGAUAUAGGAACACAAUGAAAUGCCUGUUAAAUCUGAGGUAUGGAGGUCAAACACACCAUUUAGAUGAGAUUUUAUUGCUGAUAUUGUUCCGAAUUCGUCUUCUAUAUCAGACAGCUGGCUUCCGAUUUGCGGCUAGGCUAAUUCCGUGCUUAUUGCGCACUGCACUCACAUUUUGCCACCCGUCGUGGUCCGUAAAUUCAAUUGUCAAAUUAGCGAUCGCUUAUCGCUCGCGCUGUUUUAUAGCCCGUAUCUAGCGAUCGCCCGAUGGCACGAGAUUGUGCCACUCGGUUCCCAUUGAUAAACGCUACGUGGCGGAAAAGUGCCCAAUCAUUGAUCGAGCAUUGGCUAUUUCACCAACUUUAUGGUGGCGAUGGCUGCCAUAAAACUGGGCUGAAAUAUAGUAUUAGUUUUGAGCAUUGGCCAUUUAUAUGAUUAAUUAUGCAUCUUAUCGCCGCACUGCACUUGUUUCGCAAGUGCAAAAAAACAGGAAGCCCGAUACUCGACGGCUGAACGGUAGAUAGCGCCUGAAUUCCAUCGAACUAAGCCAUAAAGCUGCAAAGCGUCCCGAAAUCCAAACAAACCGAGCGAACCGGUUCAACAACCUCGAGCCCAAUCGAUCCCCGGGUCAUCAUUGCAAAUACAUAGUUUACUCAACAUUGUGUGUACGCUUCGCAAAUGCGUUUUCGAUUUCGCGCUGAACAACAAACAGGGUAUCGAAUGCGGGAGAUUACAAGUCCCGGUAUUUAUCAGGUUUUACUCAGCCAAAACCACCGCCCACCGCCCACCGCCCACCCUGUCCGCGCCCCAAAAGUGGAGGCACGCGAGCAUUUGCCGCUUAUCACCGGCGAUUGUCUGAUAAGCGGACUGCAGCCAAGUAGUUCGUUUGCCAAUACACGGUUACUAUCCCCCCAGAUAGUCACCCUAUAUUUGCCAACAUGUGUAGCUACAUGCUGGCACUGAAAGAAAUUGGGUUCGCUUGGCAUAAUACUAUAUGCUUGCCACUUUAUGGUUUAUGCUAAAAGAGGUAUAUGAUGGUUUUUAUGUGUGAAAUAAAAUGUGAAAAUUAGUUUAGGUGCAAGUUAUACGUUAUACGUUAUACGUUGCUAGUUGCGCUAUAUCGGUGCCAGAACAAAAUGUGUGCUAAGAUACCAGCUAAGGCGAAGAACAGCAGUAUCUUAUCGCCAUAAAAAAAAAGGGGCGGGGGUAGUGAAAGUGGAGUGGGUGGCGGUGGGAUGACCACCCAGUUGGUGGGGGAGCGGUGGUUGAGUUUCAAAGUGCGAAACAGCUAAAACAAGUGUUCAAUUCAAGCACCAUGCGACAACAUUUCCAAUUAGCCAGCAGUUAGUGGGGUGGUUGCGUUGCGGCCAGAAGUCGGCUUAGCACAGUCAAGACCCCCUAAGAGGGCCGACAUUGAAGUUGCUGAUAUAUAUAAUCGGCACGCUUCCCACCAGCUUAUCUUCGUGUUACUUUAAUGAAAUUUUAAGUGUCGAUGUGUAAAAAUAGCCUUGUUAUUGAUUAGCGCCAUAAACGAGCUAUUAGGCUUUUAUGGCGGACUUCCAGUUUCCUUGGACGAUUUGGUGCUAUUGAACAACAAACUAAUAAUCAGAAUUGUGGGAAGACAGAUUACGCCUGCCAACCGACUAAUAUAGUUGAUUUAAAGGGUUUAGUAUCGCCCACACAAGUGUUACAAUGACUUUCGAUUUGUUGAUUUAUUAGUCAGUGGUUAGUGUUUCGCAGAAACGACUUAGAUCUUUAAAAAUCAGAUUUUACUGUACUGUGAAGUUAAAUCGUAUUAUCGAACCAGUUGUUCGCCUGCUAGAGUUUCACUUGAAAACCAAUUCCAAAUUGCAUUUGGCAACUGCCACGCGCCCAUCGGGGGAUUCUAAAUGGUUGCAGCCAUUUCAGAUGUUACCUUGAAUUUGAUAUGCAAUCAAAAGGUAUCGCAGCCUUUCCAGAAACUGGCAAACAAUUAACAGUUGCUCGCACGGCAGCACAAAUGCAGUGACACACCGAAGGCCAAGGUCCUUCGGGCGAUUGACUAAACGGCCAAGGACACUCGGCGAGCAUAAAAAUCCUGUUGUUCACGGGACAAAUAUUUACAACGGCAACUGUUCCGCUACCGAAGUCGUAUACAUAUAUCCAGUGACAUUGAAAUCUUUUGCCAUUCCUGCAAGGAGCUGCAAAGAGUACCGUGGAGUGCCAGCAGAGCGCAACUAAAACGCAUUUUAUGUGGAUUUGGAUCUGGCUAUCAGACCGAAUGACUUACUGGCCGCUGUGCGUGAAUUUCAGCUGCUAAACAAUUCGUUGUGGCCAUUUAAAAGGCUCGAAAGUCGGACUGCUAGCUGCGUGGCCCUGACUGUGGGUGUGUUGCACUUCCCUCCGCCGGUUGCAUAAACAAAUUGCGAAAUUUCAGCAGUCGCCAUGCAAUGCAGCUACUCCUAACCGAAACGAACAAAUGCAUCGUAAAGUACUGGAGCUUAUGACAAGUCAUUGGCUCAGGUAAUUACCGGCGAAUGUGUCUAGGGCAACACUUCUCUUCAGACCUUUUCAGCGCUGAACUGUUGUAUCUGCGGUAUCUGAAGUUGAAUCUUGAAUGCCACGGGAUUAGACGAGCAGCAGAGCAGCAGAGCAGCAGAAACCGCAGCGGACAGAUGGAUAUGGAUGUGGACAAAAGAAUGCGUCAAAAGCCGCAGCAUAAGUUCUAAAAUUUCAUAAAUUGUAGCAACAAUGGGGCUGAGGGCAAAGCCAAUGGGUAAUCCGAUAUGAUUAUUGACAUGCAUGCAGCACUGCCAGUCCUCCAGACUCCAUACGCCAGCUCCUCACUCCCUGAUCUUCCAGACAUGCACAUCACCAUCAAAUCAACUCCACUCAAAUCAAAUCAAAGUAAGCCCUCAGCCGAGCCAUUCUAAUAGAGCAUUAUGACUCAAAAUUGAUCCUAUUAUGACAUAAAA